CUUAAGCAAUCCUCUUGCCUCAGCUUACCAAGUAGCUGGGACUACAGGCACAUGUCACCACACCCAGCUCAUUUUUGUAUUUUUUCUUUGUAGAGCUGGAGUCUCACUAUGUUACCCAGGCUGGUCUCAAACUGCUGGCCUCAAGUGAUCCUCCCACCCUGGCUUCCCAAAGUGCUGGGAGUCUUUCCCUUAUAGCAUCUGUUGCUACCUUGCUUUAUGCCCCUUGACUGGGACCUAUGCAGGUCCUGUUCAUUGCCACGCCCCCAGCUCCCACCACACAAGCUGUCUGUUACGAUGGAGUGAAUGAAUGAAUCUUGUCAAUCCACAUAAACCGAAACCCACAAGAUGAUGAUGAUGAUGACUACAAUAGCAGCUAAAACAUAUAGCACGGAUUGUGUGCUGGGCCUUUUUUCUAAGUAUGCUACGUAAUUUAUCUUAUUUAAUCCUCACAAAACCAUUAUAUAAAGGUAGGUCCCAUUAUUAUCCCCAUUUAUAAGUGAGAAAACAGAAAUUAGAGAUUUGCUCAGAUUCAUAGUGAGUGGUACUAUCGUGGUUGUGAACCCAGCCAUUCCAGCUCUAGAGGCUGUGCUUUUGACCAUAUUAAUGGAGAUCUACUUAACAUACAGUCCUGGAGACUCACUCUGCAUCUGGCCAGGCUGGCUGCUCCUCCUGAGAAGCUCAUAGGCUGGUGGGGAGACAGGCUGUGAGUGACUGAUGGCAGUUGUGGGGGCUGGUGGCCAGCAUGGCUUCUAGGAGGAGUUCAGGAAACACAAGUUUAAAAAGUUUUUCUCUUGAUGCAGCGGCUCAUGCUUGUGAUCCCAGGGCUUUGGAGGCCGAGGUGGGAGGAUUGCUUGAGACCAGGAGUUCAAGACCAGCCUGGCCAACAGAGUGAAAGCUUGUCUCUACAAAAAUUGUAAAUUAGCCAGGCAUAGUGGCAUGUGGCUGUAAUUCCAACUACUCAGGAGGCUGAGGCAGGAGGAUCACUUGAGCCCAGGAGGUUGAGGCUGCAGUGAACUAUGAUCAUGCCACUGCAUUCCAUCCUGGGCGACAGAGUGAGACCUUAUCUCUUAGAAUUAAAAAAAAAAUUUUUUUUAAAGGUUUUCUUUUCAUCUUCUUGCCCUUAAGCCCUGUGAAAAGGUGCCUUUGAAACAUGCAUGCCCAUCAUUGCUUUUCAGAUUUGGUGACUCAAGGAGUCCCUGGAGUACACCUGAGGAUAACUAUUUGAGAGACUCUGUCUGAAGGAGUCAAGUCAGCCUAUGACAUCUCUCUGUUGUGGAUCAUUCCUGCAGAUGAAAAAGAGUGACUUGGCAGCUGAUGUUGAUUCUGAAGGUCCUCCCUAAUCGAAAUCCUGCAUUCCAGACCCCACCUCAGAGUUCGAUCCCCUCAGAACCCAACCUACAACACAUCAAGCAGAUGGCCAUCCUGUCAGUCCAUGGCUGAAGGCGGACAGAUGACAAGUUUAGAUGGGAAACAGGAGGUCCCAAGACCUUGGGCAGGGAGCUGCCCCAGCAUUAACACCUGGGGAGGGUCUCACUCUCUGACCCAGGCUGGAGUGCACUGGUGCGAUCUCAGCUCACUGCAGCCUCCACCUCCGGUUCAAGUGAUUCUCCUGCCUCAUCCUCCUGAGUAGCUGGGAUUACAGGUAGGCAGUCACAGCCCAGCCCUGAGGAAGGAGCAGUCACCCAUCUCCCUGCCACACACCAUAGAUCUUCUGGAUGCCCUGGAGAUCAUCCUGGGGAAGCUUGAAGUUGUGCGUCUCCAUGUACUGGUAGAAGGGUGCCAUGAUGGCGCUUGGGUCGUUGGAGUGCUCCAGUCCCAGCGCGUGGCCCAGCUCGUGCACAGCCACCAGGAAGAGGUCGUUCCCUGUGGAAAGGAGCAUGGGAAGGUGCCCAGGGCACCCGCUUAGAUGUGAGUCAGUCAGCCAAGCCAUUACCUCAGCAAACACCAACCACAGGCCCUGUGCCAGGCCCCGUGCUGGACACUGGGGACAUAUAGAGAAAUCAGACACAACCCCUGCCUCCCAGGCCUCUCUGCAGCAUGGGGACAAGGAGAGAGAGAACACCAGUGAGGCAGAGGGCUCUGGGGGCAUUAGGAAUGUCUGAAAGCGUCGGGUGGGGAUUCCGAGGAGAGAGGGGUCAUUUAAACUUGGAGGAAGAUGUUCAGGGAAGGCUUCACAAAGGUGAAGCUGAAGCUGAGUCUUGAAGGAUCAGAAGUCAGUCAGGAGAAUGGAUUCAGGGGGCAGGAGAGGAAGGGUGGGGGUGGCAUUCUUGGCAGAUAGAAUGUGAUAAACAAUGUCCAGGGACAAGCAGUUUCAUUCCACCUGGCUCUGGAACAAAGCACGAGGGGAGGGCUUGCAAGAGAUGAGGUCAGCCAGGCUGGCAAGCAGGGCGCUUAAUGCCAUACAAAGGAAUUUGGAUCAGCUUCUUGGCUAGUGGGGGGUUUAAGCAGGAGUGGGGGAGGUGAUACAAGGAAAUCACUGGCUGCAUUUGGAGGGACGAUUAGCGGGAACAAGAGCUGGGGAAGGGGGAUCCGUUUGGACACUGGGGUCCAGGUGAGAAGUGAAAAGGCACUGAGGCUGACCAGGCACAGUGGCUCACGCCUGUAAUCCCAGCACUUUGGAAGGCCGAGGUGGGCAGAUCACUUGAGGUCAGGAGUUCGAGACCAGCCUGGCCAACAUGGUGAAACCCCAUCUCUACUAAAAAUACAAAAAAUUUGCAGGGCAUGGUGGCGUGUGCCUGUAAUCCCAGCUACUUGGAAGGCAGAGGCAGGAGAAUUGCUUGAUUCUAGGAGGCAUAGGUUGCAGUGAGCUGAGAUCUGCACCACUGCACUCCAGCCUGGGCAACAGAGUGAGACUCCAUCUCAGAAAAUAAUAAUAAUAAAAAGAGACCAGGUGGAGGGAAUGGGGACAAAGAGAGCAAGUUCAAGGGUUGGCAGACUGGCUGUCAGCUUCAGGAGACUCCGGGCAGGCGGGGCCUGGGCAUGGGCAGCUCUCUGCAGGACCUCAGUUCUGGAGGAAGGGAACUGUUGGCCAAGAUUAAGGCAGGGAUUCGAGUGUAGGUGAAAACACAAUCCAGGUCCUGGAAAUGGGACACAGGAUCCCAAGGGUGGAACUGAGGCAGCUCCGUGGCACUGCAGUUAUGAGCUCGGGCCCCUGAGCGCGACAGAUCACCUUCAUUCCCCUGGCCAGUCUGUGAAUAUGGCCAAUAGGCCUACCCCUAAGCCUCAAUGUCCUCACUUAUAAAAUGGGGCAUCAGACCUACCUCACCGGGCUGUGUGAGGUUGAAUAAGAUACACACGAAGUAUGUGGCGUGGCACAGAAUGGCAGCUGUUGUAAUCCUAUAUCAGACAGAAGCUGGGUGACUGGAAGAAGCCCACUAACCAGAAAGGAAGCACAAGGCCAGUGGAGCACCAGCAACCAGAUCCUCUGAAAGCCAACUCCCCUGAGCUUCUGUAUUAUGCCUAGGACAGGACAAGGAGGCCUGAACUUAGGGGGAUUAAGUGACUGUAGCUUUGGGGAAAAAAAUGCAGGGGGCAGGGAGUUGAUAGGCCAUUGGACCGACAGUCCUGACUCCCAUCUGCCCAGUUUCAGACUCUUGCUUGCCUUGACCUCUGGCAUUUGUAGCCCUGUGAGCCCUUCCUCUUAUCUCCUGGCCAUAAGGCAUGGCUCGGCCCAUUUCUGCCACCUCUGAGUCCAGGGAGGCUGCUAGGAGCCUAGGAGGUGGUCAGGAGUCCUACUGCCCACUCUGGCCCAAGCGUCACUGGCAAGUUGUUCUACCCCAACCCAGCCUAGCGUCACGUGGGGGUGAGGAUUAUUUGGUCUUCCUGGUUUAGGUCUCCAGAAGAGAGAAGAACCCCAUGGGGCAGACCCAGACCAAGGACAGUACAUGCCUGCCACAAUACUGACAUCACCAGUGUCUUCUGUGAAGCUGCCUUUGAGCAAUGGAAAGGAAGGAGGAUGGGCAAGAUCAGUGCAAGGUUGGCCAAAAGCCUGGGGCUGGCCUUCUGCUGGCAUGAGAGGGCCAGGCCGCCCCCAGCUCCUUCCUCAGGUCCUGGCCCCUCUGGCAGCAGGGAAGGGUGAGCUCAUCUCUGAGCUCCAUCCCAAACAAAGGCAACUGCUAGAGCCAGCGGAAGGCCGCUCUGCUUCCUGGGGUCCAGUCCUGGCUCUGCUCCUGGGCUGUUCUAUGACCUGGGAAAGGUGUUCAGGGCUUCUGUCUCCUGAGCAGGCUCUGUCCCAGGGGCUGUCCACGGGGAGCUCAGCUGGAAACCAGGGAACAGGGCUCUGAGCACCGUGGGAGACUCGAAACCUUUGUCCACAGUCUUGUAUCUUGCUCUGUUAACCCCUGUGCUGGGUCUGCAGAGGGCAGGAGUAACCCGUUAAAGGAAGGAGACCCGUGUGUUGGGUUCAGGAACCAAAGGGAAGGGAGGAGCCAGGGAGCCAGCAUCCUGCCACACAGAAACCCAAGAGACCCCUUGGGAGGGAGUGGGGCAGGGGCAGGACUCCCUGAGCUUGUGAGGUGAAGGCAGAGGUGUGAGAAGGAGAGGCCUGCUAUGAGGACCCCAUGCUCCAUGGGCAGGAGGCUAUUACGGUCGUCAUAUUUUUUUUUUUUUUUUUUAAGACAGAGUCUUGCUCUGUUGCCAGGCUGGAAUACAGUGGUGUGAUCUCAGCUCACUGCAACCUCUGCCUCCUGGGUUCAAGGGAUUCCUCUGCCUCAGCCUCCUGAGUAGCUGGGACUAUAGGUGUGCGUCACCAUGCCUCAAUAAUUUUUUAUAUUUCAGUAGAGACAGGGUUUCACCAUGUUGGCCAGGAUGGUUUUGAUCUCCUGACCUCGUGAUCCACCUGCCUUGGCCUGCCGGCCAAAGUGCUGGGAUUACAGGCAUGAGCCACCAUGCCCAGCCAGGUUUUUGCUCUUUAAGUGGGUGAGAAGCAGGGAAGCCAGUCUCUGGGAGCCAGACUGCCUGGUUUUGAAUCCCAGCUCUGCCAUGUCCUAGCAGUGUGAUAUUUUACAUUUCUUCCUCUGGAAGCUAGAAGGAACAAUGGCACCUUGGUCGUAGGGAUGGGGGUGAAGAUGAAUGAGGCAGAGUGUGUAAUGCACUCAUACUGGCUCCUGGCACAGAAGUAUUACCCUUCAUUAGCAGGGUCCUGUUGAGCUGUGUGUGAGCACCAGCAGCCCUGAUAGGAUGUGUUCCUGGAAGUCCCUGGGCCUCUGAGCAAGUCCCCAGCAGUCUACUUGGCUACUCAAGUGGGCCUUGUCUUUACCUCAUUUCUUUCUCUUAGGAUCUCCCUAUUCGGUGGUUCUCAUCCUAUUAACUCCUCCAGCCCCACAAAAGGUGAUUGCCAGUGCUGCCCCUCCACUUGGAAUAACCAGAUUCCUUCAAAGUUCAGCUCCAUGCCUAUCUUCCUGGAAGCCUUCCUUGACCUCCCAGCUGGCAGAGCAGGGCAGGGCUGGGCACCCUCCCCAGCAGAGCUUAGUGACUAUCUGCUGACUUCACUGCUUGACUCAUUUGAAAGAAACGAGGGCAGAAGAUGUCUGAAAGUAGCUCCAGGAACCAGCUUAAAGGUGGGUUGGGCUAGCUUGCGCCUUCACUCAGACUCCACAUAAGUGGGGAAGCAGAACCACCUUUAUGUCCCAGUAGUUCUCCAGGGGAGCCUUUUAUUUUUAUUU